UUGAUUUAUUUUCAAGAUUCUCAGAGGUAAUCACAUUGGAAAACAGAGAGUUUAGGGUCUCCGGCGGCGCCGGCCGAGGCCGGGUUGCCGCCGAAGCAACGUAGGUAUGUUCACAGUGGGUUGUGAGUUGGAAACUCGGUAAUGAUCCCUCCGCUGGUUCACCAACGGAGA
rnacentral:misc_RNA from 1 species